rnacentral:lncRNA from 1 species
GAAGAAAUUAAUAGAAAUAGAGAAAUGUUUUUUUCUUAAAUGUUUGCUUCAGCACUGUAAAUUUUCAGAGAGCAGUCUCUGAAAUAGCAGUAAUGAAUCAGGUGGAUGUUUGCUUUCAAGGACCCCUUGGGAAGAUCUAGAAUCACUCACCUAAAAAGAAGCUGCAUGCAGCUGAGCUGUGUUGUCUCAGUGCUCUUCUGGGAAGGAGCAGACUGGAGUGCAAGACCCUUCUUUGUUUCCUUCUUCACUUGCCCAGGAAGUUCUCUGACCACUAAAACCAAGCCAUACCUAACCAAACAAGCCACUGAGGAAUAUCUGGAAAAACCAACUAAGCUGUUAAAAGAGACUGUGCAUUGCAUAAAUGAGAAACCAUAUAGAAGAACAAUGUCUUAUCAUCAUAAGCAAAAGUGGCUCAUUUUCCAUGUAUUGGCAUGCUUUUGAGCUUCCCUCUUGCCUUCCAAUUAUAUGCUUGUCAAAGAUAGAGCCAGAAGGUCACAACCACUUUACUCUCCCUACUGUACAAAUCAGCCAAUGAAAACUUCCACUUCUUAGUGUAUUUCAAUUAUUUACGAUAACCACUUUGAACAAAUACACUUCUAGGCUUGAAUCUGGAAGCUAAAAGGGGAAAAAAAGACAUAGCAACUCAUUCAAAAUGGACAAUACCAGACUGGAAAAUAGAGAGAAGUUCUCCUAGGAUGCCUUUGCUGGGCAGCAAGUCAUGGGGAACAUGAAGCAUCUGACUUUCUUUACACCGUUUGAAAUGAUAAUUUGAAACUAUACCAUCCUUAUACACUUCUUAAUAUUCUAUUUGGAAGUACAGCUGAGACACAUGCAAACACCUGCAUUCUCCCAAGCAAAUAGGGUGGGUUUAACUUGUCAGACUAUAUGUGCUAGACAGCUGAGCAUCUAGCAGCUUCUGAAGCCUUGAUGGGAGCUAAAACAAGCAUCUUGUCAGUUAUGUCUGACCUGAUGUAUAUACUCGCAAGAUGCCUGUGAGAAUUUCUCAAAAGCAAGGGUUGGAGUAAACCACUCCUGUUAGAGAGUGCUGAGCCUGGUGGCCCCAGGGUGGAGAACCUGCCAUGGCUCCCUGCCUUCAGACCAUGAAUUCACCAUAUGCCCCACUCCCAGAGCCAUUCCCUUGGCUCCCAGGCCAGGAGCCUCCAUUAACAGCUGCUCCAUCUUGGUGCUGGUCAGGGUCACGCACUGGCAGCACACCCUCACUGUGCCCGUGCUGGCUCAGCCCUGGCACUCAGCCAUUGUGCUCUUGGGUCUGCAGGUAUGAGCCCUGCAUGGGCCUGUGACACCAGGAUGAGCUGGCCAGGGGGGUACUGGUGUACCUCUAUCCUCCCCUAGCCAAGAGCCCACCAGACUGUUGGCUCAGAGGGACUUAGUGUUGGAUCUUAUAUGGCCAUAAGCCAUAUGGGAUUCUGGAUCAAAAUUCUCUCAUCAGAAGUCAGUUGUAAUAAACUCUGUAAUGCCAAAGAAUGCCA